UCUAGACUGUCGGACCCUUCCAUUGAUUCAGAGGGGAGGGAGGUCGAGGGGAUGCUCUCCAAUCUUUAGCAAGAUCCAGCCGCUGCAUCAAAAACAAAUAAGAUAAUAUGAACAGUUUAUUUAAUCACUUUAUUAACAAUACUCAGAUUGAGAUUAGGGUGAUGCAACAAGGACAUGUCUUGUGUCCACUCUGUUAGGUAAGAUGAAUAUAAUGUUAACAGUGUAUUGACGUAACCUACUGUCUCUGAUAUUACAACAAGCUAGGGAAACAGUCAUCAUGGGAAAACUCGAAAUACAGCAACACAAUGCAACCCAGUACCAGUUGCCGUAAACACAACACAGCUAACGCUAGCCGGGCCAUUGCGUUUGACCCCACGAAGGCUACAAUGGUCUUCCGGAAGCUGGCCCGGAACCAUAUUCCCUGGAUAUUGUCUUACAGGCAGGCACGAGCGCUGCAGCACCAGCGGCUGAAGGGUUGUGGGUGACGUCUCCCGAUGGGGGCGAGUGAGCCUGUUACGCCUGAAAGACUAAACUCGGAGCAACAAGAGCUCGAUAUCUUCUGAGAACAGCGAUAGAAAGAGGAUGUUUGUGUUGGACGGUGUGGCACCGUGGAGCUGGAGCGUCACGAUGCGGUUGGACUUGCAAAUACUUUUAUCUUCCGCAGAAUUAAAAAAAAGAAAAAAAGAAAAGAAAACAGUCCGAUGUUGAUAAUUGUGCAUGAUAUUUACCCUAGCAGCCAAUGUCACAUCAUAAGUCAUACUCAUAAUAAAUCAAAUUGACUUAUGCAACUGUUUUAGUUGUAGGUGUCACAUCCCAUUUGGACAAGUUGCGUGUGUUUUAAUCAUAUUUUUGAACAAAGGAGAGAUUUUGAUUUAGCAGUAAAAACGUACAGUUACGUACUGAAACACCAUGUGCCAUUAAUUCGUUACUGGGUUGUUUAGUUCCUAUUGUUGGACAACAUAUUGUUGUGUACUGUGAAAAAACACGCCGUCGACAGUCGCCUUAGGCAGUGUUGUAUCCCACAUCAUUGUUUUGUUGCAGUAUUAACUCACUCAAUUCUUUAAAAAGGGAUACUGGAGAGUACUGAACUCCUUAAGUCCCAUUGAUAAACAGGCUGGUGCCGCUAUAUGUCCAUCGUGGUUGGGAACCUAAAUAAAUAAACAACCACAUAAACAAUUGUACUAAUGAGAUACCCUCUGACUGCAGUGUGAGGAUGUACCGACAAAACGGUCUCAUUUAAUCACCACAGGUGUAUCUGAUUCAUUGCAUUAGACAUUCUGUCUUUUAAUUUGCCUGUUGCCUUAUUGGCCAUGGGUGACUAAAGAACAAAAGCAAUGCUAAUACCACCUGACAAUUUUGGAGGCAUACAUCACAGAAUGUGUUAUGGUCUGAGACAGUAUCUCCAGCUCCAAUUAAGCAUGCCAGAAUGAGUUGCAGUGUGGACCACAGCAGCCCAGCUCAGAGUUAUGGAUGAGCAGUCACUCUAGCAGUGCCUGACCCUGAGUGCUAAUUAGAUAUGACAUUAAAAUAACAUGAGCCAAAGACAGACUUGUGCAGAAAUUAAAUGCCUUGCGUUGAAUCAACUUCCAACACAACAAAUAACAACGGACUAAUUGGAGUAACUGAGUUUAUAACAGUAAAAAGGGUUAUAAAGAUUAUUUUCUUCCCUGUUACUAUUAUUGUAGAAUACCACAAAGAUUGGGUGGGUAUUUGCUUAACAAGCAAGUUAAUUACACUUCACUCGAGACUUCUCAAUAAGCUGUUUGUAUGAAGCUAAACUCUGUGUCAUACUUUCUUUUGGUUGUUGUUUUGGAUGCACAGAAAUCGAGAGUGAGGAGAUUCUUGGAUAUUGUAGUUACUGGGUGAAACAACUGGUGGGCGGUAAAAAAUACAACCCAACGCUCUUCAGAAAGCAGCAUUCAAAAUCUUAUUUUAAUUUGUAUAUUUACUCCAUAAACAUUAUUACAAAACUCAGCAAGUUACCAAUAUUACAUUAUCACCAUACAGGCUUGAUCACAAAUAUUUAAAACUUUUGCAACAGUUACAACAAAACAAAAAACUAAAUGAUACUCAAAUAAUUUACAUGAAAAUCUAUAAAACAGCAAAUUGUUCACAAAUUAUAUAUUUUUUUCCAGGUUUUCAUUUUUUUUUCUUUGCUUAUUUGUGUUUUGCACAGUAACACAACACUCUCACAACAAGAUCAUGGUCUUAUUACAAAACUCCCAACAAAAUGUAAAUAUUUCUAGUUUUCUGUUGAUAUUCAUAUUUUGGUUUUUAAAACCAGAAACUUGUCAUUGUAUAUCCUUUCCACUGCCCAUAGAGGCGCAUAAAAGGUUACUCACACACACAAAUACUUCACAGCACUUUCUAAGAAAAAUAUACACUUACAAAAUAUGUUACAAAUUGGCACACAAAAAAUAUACAAGAUUUUGUAGUGUCAAGAGUUCAUUAAGAUUCCUUCUGGUAACAACUCUAGACAGUAUAUAUAAAGCUCGGUAAUCUUUUAAUGAAAAGAGCGAAAGUAAUUCCAAUCAAUGUUAAAGAAUCAUGAAGUGAAUACAUCGAACAUAACAUUAUAAUAUACAUUCAUAAAGAGGGUUAGGUACCUAAUCUAGUUUGCAUUUAUUUUUUGUUAACUCUGGGAGAAAAAAAAAUCAAAAUGAAAAAAAAAAAAAAAAAA